AGUAGAGAUGGGGUUUCACCAUGUUGGUCAGGCUGGUCUCAAACUCCUGACCUCAGGUGAUCCACCCAC
ensembl:miRNA